rnacentral:lncRNA from 1 species
CCUGAGCCAGCUGGAGAGGGGCCCGGUAGGAUGUACGUGUGAUUAAGCGCUCUGGCGGCCCGGGCUUUCUCUUUCCCUUUCUGUUUCUUCUCUCUCCGCCUUGCCCUGUCUUUCAUUCGCCACUUAUUGAGCGCCUGCUGUAUCGGGCACUGUCGUGGGCCCUGGGCACACAGCAGUGAACAAGCAGACAAAAUCCCCACCUCAUGGAGCAGCAUUCUAAUGCGGGAGGAAUUCAAUAGGAAAAAAUUAAUAAUAAAGGACACUGAUGCAUAUUGGGAAGUAAUGCGUAUUAUCAAGAAAAGCGAAGCAGAGUAUUAAGAUCAUUCUUUCAGUUCUUCAUUCUUUCAGUUAUGCCCUCUGAAUCAGUGGAAAAAACGCAAGGUGCAUUUUUUUCUAUUAUCUCAACGACAACUAAUCAUAACAGAAGACUUUUCUGACCAAAUAUAGGGGAGUUUCCCACACAUCUCAAGCAAGCAAUGAGUUCAGUGAGUUCUGCAGCGGGCACCAGCUGGGUGUCCUCCAGUUUAAUUCCGACGCCGUCUACUUGGAGAUGGGUCAGACACCAUUCGCUGAGGGCUCAGUCCCCAAGCCUGCCUCCCCCUUCCCACUUCCCACUAAAGUCUAGCCUCUGGAACAUCUGACUCCACCACCUUCAAAUUGGGAUUUUCACCACCCCCUCUUUGCGGUUCGAUAUUUUGCUAGAGUGGCUCACGGAACUCAGGAAACACUUAUGUUUACUAGUUUAUUAUAAAGGAUAUUACAAAUGAUAUAGAUGAAGAGAUGCGUAGGGCAAAGUACAGAAAAAAGGGUGUUGCACCUUCCAGUAACCUCCACAUGUUCAGCUGGGUGGAAGCUCUCUAAACCCUGUCUUUUGGGAGUUUUACAGAGGCUUCAUUACAUAGGCAUGGUUGAUUAAAAUCCCGUCCCCUCCUUAGGGUUGGGGGUGGGGUUGAAUGUCCCAACCUUCUAGUCAUGUCUUGGUCUUUCCAUAACCAGUCCCCAUCCUGAAACUCUAUAGGGGUUGCCAGCUGUCAACUCAUUAGCAUACAAAAUGAGUUUUUACUGUUACUUUGUAGUUUCUAAGGAUUUUAGAAGUUCUAUGCUAGGAAGAUCAAAUAUAUAUUUCACAAUAUCAUACUCUUAUUCCUAUUCUUCAAU